rnacentral:rRNA from 1 species
AGAGUAUAAGCCAAUGGAGCUUGGAAGGCUUCCGCAGGCGGCGUUCAUCAUACGUGGUGUUCUUAAGACCUUGAGUCUCGCUCGUCAGGCGUAGCAUUUGAGUAUGCCAGGUUUAGCUGUCGUGCGGGGGGUUCGGCCUGGAGGACUCCGGUUACGGGGGUUGAUUUCAGGUCGUCCCCUUUUGAAUGGACGUUCAGAGCUCUUGUGUCUAAUGCGGUUAUGCCCACCACGGCACGUUGCGAGGUCACCCACAGGCUCAACUGCCGAUCGCGCAUCCAGGACGAUGGCAACGAUGCGUUGUCGAUGAUGGCUCCAGAGAGAGACUUCACUCACACGCGUGUCUAGUCCUGGGUCGGGCGGCGACCGAGAUAAACCUGGUAUGAUCCUCUAGCGACGAGCUGCCUUCUGACCAGACCGGCGCCCGGACGUAUCCACUGUGCCGGAUGCGUCAACCCCAGGCGGUGUGAGCCCAAUCUGCAACUGUCGCAAGGUCUCUCAGCCGGGCGUUGGUCUGAGUGGUGUUAAGUCCAGCACCAUCGGUCACGUCUCGAAACACGGGCCAAGGAGUAUAGCAUGUGUGCAAGUCUAAGGGUCUCACAAAACCCGAAGGCGAAGUGAAAGCAAGACUGUGGCGGGGGAGCUACGGCGAACCCGCCGGCCUGGUGGCGCGCGCUUGCGCGCGUCGCCGGCUUUUUGGCAGAGCUGAUCCUGUUUUCUCGGUUGAUUCUUGGUGCAGGCGCAAGCUCCGGGCUCACGUACAACCCUGGUCACGCGCCUGGCGCGUGGCUGUGUGUGAGCACGU